UACGAGGGGGGCAAGCGUUGUUCGGAAUUAUUGGGCGUAAAGGGUGCGUAGGCGGUUUGGCAAGUCUUAUGUGAAAUCUUCAGGCUCAACUUGUAGUCUGCAUGAGAAACUGCCGGGCUUGAGUAUGGGAGAGGUGAGUGGAAUUCCUGGUGUAGCGGUGAAAUGCGUAGAUAUCAGGAGGAACACCUGUGGCGAAAGCGGCUCACUGGACCAUAACUGACGCUGAUGCACGAAAGCUAGGGGAGCAAACAGG
rnacentral:rRNA from 1 species